rnacentral:snRNA from 1 species
GUGUUUGCUUCAGCAGCACAUACACUAAAAUUGGAACGAUUCAGAGAAGAUUAGCAUGGCCCCUGCUCAAUGAUGACAUGCAAAUUCAUGAAGCAUUCUAUAUUUUU